CCUACGGGUGGCAGCAGUGAGGAAUAUUGGUCAAUGGGCUAAGGCCUGAACCAGCCAAGUAGCGUGAGGGAUGACGGCCCUAUGGAUUGUAAACCUCUUUUGUCGGGGAGCAACGAGGACACGUUUGGCCGUAGUGUGAGUACCCGAUGAAAAAGCAUCGGCUAACUCCGUGCCAGCAGCCGCGGUAAUACGGAGGAUGCGAGCGUUAUCCGGAUUUAUUGGGUUUAAAGGGUGCGUAGGCGGAACAUUAAGUCAGCGGUAAAAUUGAGGGGCUCAACCCCUUAAAGCCGUUGAAACUGGGUGUCUUGAGUGGACGAGAGGUAUGCGGAAUUCGUGGUGUAGCGGUGAAAUGCAUAGAUAUCACGCAGAACUCCGAUUGCGAAGGCAGCAUACCGGCGCCCGACUGACGCUGAGGCACGAAAGUGUGGGUAUCGAACAGGAUUAGAUACCCGAGUAGUC
rnacentral:rRNA from 1 species